rnacentral:rRNA from 1 species
UACAGAGACUGCAAGCGUUAUUCGGAUUCACUGGGCGUAACGGGUGCGCAGGCGGCCGUAUGUGUGAGGCGUGAAAGCCCGGGGCUUAACCCCGGAAUUGCACCUCAAACUAUACGGCUAGAGCAUUGGAGAGGGUAGCAGAAUUCAUGGUGUAGCAGUGAAAUGCGUAGAUAUCAUGAGGAAUACCAGAGGCGAAGGCGGCUACCUGGACAAUUGCUGACGCUCAGGCACGAAAGCGUGGGGAGCAAAAGGG